GCUCAAUCGGGCCGAUUGCAAAACAGACAUGGCGGCACUCGAAUUCUAGCGGUUAGAAUUCGGUUCGUUUUCGGCUCGAUUUCCAUCCGCCUGCUCGAUUGCUCGAAAACAGACGAUAUUUUUCGCAGUGCUGCGAUGAGCAAAACGAAACACGAGCAGUUUUCAAUCGCAGCAAUCCGGGUGCGGGUUUUGUUUUGGUGCGUUAUUGUUGUGAAAUGUGUUGUGGAAUUUGGUCGCAGUUCGGUUUCUGCUUUUUCCGUUGUUCCUGUUCAGAAAUGCUUUGAGCGCCGUAUAGAAGAAGCCAUUGUCCGGCGAUAAUUUAAUAAUAUGUAAGAAAAUAUCGGACCAUGCGAACAAAGCUUCCAAGGAAAUGUCAACACGGUACGGGCGCUGGUGGAAUGUCAUCCUGAACAUCGUAUUAUGAUCCGGAUCCGGAUCCCAGACACGCUCAGAGGUGGUGGCUUCACUUUUAGAUCACUUAUAAUUAGUUUUUGCCGUGGUACCUCAUAGUGAAAAGCAAUUGCUUAAGAAAACAUCGACCCAUUGCAAACAAAGCUUCCAAGGAAAUGUACACACGGUAUGGGCUCUGGUGGAAUUUCAUCCCGGACAUCGUACCCCGAUCCGGAUCUCGGCUCAGAAGUGGAGCCUUAACUUGGAUUACUUUUAAUCAGUUACGGUGUGAUACUUCAAAGGGGAAAGCAAGGCCUGCGUCCCGCUUUCAAUGAGUUGCAACAGCAUACUUUGUCCCAGUUCCAGAAAGCUUUGGAACGACUGUUGGAGAUUCAAUGUUCGGCAACAUUGACCAAUUGUGCCCUAAUAUCACCAUCAAGGAAUGUUCCCACGGUAGGGAAAUUUGGACCAUUUAGACGAUAACAGCAUUCGCCGCCACUUAAAGUAAAUUAAAAAAAAAAUGGAUUGGAUGUUUUUUUACCCAAUAUAAAUACCUACAACAGGGGGAAAAAUAACAAAAUUUCACUCACCUGAAAAAAUGCGGUAUUCCUGAAUCAUCGUCUGAGUCAUCGGAGUCGUUUUUAAACUUGUUAAUCCAAUUCCGGAAUUGUCUUACUCUGAACGCCAGCCCCCAUGGUUUCCGGUAGCCCCAUCAAUGGUCGAUUUCGCAUCGUACCGCAUCCGAAUCCGUAUAUUGGCCGGGAGGGCGGCCAGCUUUGUGAUCGUUGACCAAACACUAACAUUUUUCUUCGCGGUGAACGAUUACAAAUCGACGAACCCGAGCAACAUUUUAUUUUUUGUGUUCCAAAAUCGCGACCGAUGAAAACAAAACAUAAUAAAAUGCACUCAAAAACGAAGCGCAUUGUAAAAUUACCAAAUCUCAGGGUAAAAUGAACAACAUUCAUCACACAUAAAUCAUAAAUGUCGAAAUUAUUUUGAAAAUGCUAGAUUUAAGAAAAAACGGAAAAAUUAUAUUAGAUAGUAGAAUGUAUGAUUUUGAAGAACAACUAUGAGUAGGUAGUCCAGAUAACUGAUUUCGGGCAUUUAAAAGUAGGCACAUGGUAUAUUUUAAUAGAACCCCUAUGUAAAAUUAGUAUAGGUUGUCAGAGAGGCUGACCACAAAGAGUAAUGAGGUUUUAGAAGAACAGCAUUGUGCAUUUUAUGUUCUGUUGAUGAGUAGACUUUUUUUUAUUAAGGAAGUUAAACUGCCAUUCUUCCCUAACAGAUGAGUAGACAAUAUCAAUCAAGCUAUUUAAGCUAGAUUUAUUAUUAGUUUGGGCUAGGCUUCUUAUUGUAUAUUGAUAGAUGAUAUUAACUAAUAUCAUAUUUUUCUUUUCCUUUUUUUCUCUUUUUUCCUUUUUCUUUUUAGUAUUUCUUUUCAUGUCACCUUCUGUUGAUGACGAAUGAGCUUCGAAUUAGGUAAACUCGAACAACCCUCAAGCCAUCUCCUCACAACAUUGGUCCUCGAAGAUGGUUUCGCAUGAUGUUGUUGUCAUCCCGAAGACUUUAUCAACCCCUGAAAACAGACGAAUCGCUGAAAAAAUAAGCUUGUAUUGUAUUUAAUAUAAGCUAUGAUUUAAAGUAUAAAUUAGAAGAAAAAAAAAACCAGAAAAAUAAAAGAAAAACAAAUGAAAUAAUUUCUAGCUUUUUGUUCAAAACCGAAAAACCUGAAUGAAUGGCAACCAUGGUAAUCGGCCCAGAAACGGUUUGAAAAACCGUUUGGUUUCGGUCCGAAAUCGGUCCUUUCUUUCGGAUGUACGCCAUCGCAAUCGGUCCGGAAUCGGCUCGAAAAAUCAUUCGGUUUCGGUCCGAAAUCGGCCCGUUUUUUCGGAU